CAGGUCCGCACAAUGAGCACAUAUAUGGUAGCAGAUAUGAUGGCCUAAAGGGGGAUACAGGACUUCUUACCUUUUUAUGGCUGAAUAGUAUUCUGCUAUGCAUAUGGACUACAUUUCCUUUUUCUGUUCAUCAGUUGAUGGCCAUUUUGGUAUCCCCAUGUCUUGACUACUGGGAAUAGAGAUACAGUGAACAUAGGAAUACAGACUAAAGGAGUUAUUUUGGCCUACAGCUGAAAAGGAUGGCAUCAUAAUAGAAAUGAGAGUUGGAUGGAUUAUCAGAUAUAGAGAAAAAGUCAUCAUAUUAGAUAAUAAGUGGGAAUCCCAGAUGUCUGUCAAUCAGAUCCAUACCUCCAAGACAAAGAAAAUAAAAAUCAAAAUGCACAGAGAACAAUACUGAUUUUCAUUAUUGAAAUAUUCAAAUGGUGACUGGGUUGUCAAAUUCAUCAAAGAAAUUAUAUAUUGACUGUGACACAGCUUUAUUGGACUGGGGAGAUAUCACUUCUUCGAUUGUGACAUCCAAAACUGUCUCCUGUCUGCAGAGACUGCUGAAAGUCCCCAGGGAAUAGAAGAUAAAAUCCCCUGCAGCUUGAACUACCGGAUUAGAAGGAAAUUUCUAAAUGAAACUUGCUAAUGAAGACAACACACUGCUGAGGAAAUAAUGGGAAAUUCAGUGUCGGCGGCUGAUACAACUAACUUGAAAUAAAGCAUUUUUGGAGUAGAGAAUAGUGAAAAGGUGGCAAAUCCCCAAAUCUGUAAGGGAAAUAGUUAAAUACAAGUUGCAUCCAGGGGCCAUUUAGCAUCCGGUGUUUUGGAUAUAGUUAAUAAAAAGGUAUAAGGAACAAUACCAGCCUUGGCACUAUAAAAAGCAAUCAAAC
rnacentral:lncRNA from 1 species